rnacentral:rRNA from 1 species
AUACGGAGGGUGCAAGCGUUGUCCGGAUUUAUUGGGUUUAAAGGGUGUGUAGGCGGUGUAUUAAGUCAGUGGUGAAAGCCUGCGGCUCAACCGUAGAACUGCCAUUGAUACUGACACACUUGAGUAUGGACGAGGUAGGCGGAAUUUAUGGUGUAGCGGUGAAAUGUAUAGAUACCAUAAAGAACACCGAUAGCGAAGGCAGCUUACUAGGCCAUAACUGACGCUGAGGCACGAAAGCGUGGGGAGCGAACAGGAUUAGAAACCCGAGUAGUCC